rnacentral:rRNA from 1 species
UACGUAGGGGGCAAGCGUUGUCCGGAGUUACUGGGCGUAAAGCGCACGCAGGCGGUCUCUUAAGUUUGGAGUGACAGUUGGUGGCUUAACUGCCAAAGUGCUUCGAAAACUGAGAGACUUGAGGGCUUCAGAGGGACACGGAAUUCCGGGUGGAGUGGUGAAAUGCGUAGAGAUCCGGAGGAACACCAAAGGCGAAGGCAGUGUCCUGGGGAGUACCUGACGCUCAGGUGCGAAAGCCAGGGAGGCGAACGGG